rnacentral:rRNA from 1 species
ACCCGAGACUCAGUGAAAUUGAACUCGCUGUGAAGAUGCAGUGUACCCGCGGCAAGACGGAAAGACCCCGUGAACCUUUACUAUAGCUUGACACUGAACAUUGAGCCUUGAUGUGUAGGAUAGGUGGGAGGCUUUGAAGCGUGGACGCCAGUCUGCGUGGAGCCAACCUUGAAAUACCACCCUUUAAUGUUUGAUGUUCUAACGUUGGCCCCUGACCGGGGUUGCGGACAGUGUCUGGUGGGUAGUUUGACUGGGGCGGUCUCCUCCCAAAGCGUAACGGAGGAGCACGAAGGUUAGCUAAUCCUGGUCGGACAUCAGGAGGUUAGUGCAAUGGCAUAAGCUAGCUUGACUGCGAGCGUGACGGCGCGAGCAGGUGCGAAAGCAGGUCAUAGUGAUCCGGUGGUUCUGAAUGGAAGGGCCAUCGCUCAACGGAUAAAAGGUACUCCGGGGAUAACAGGCUGAUACCGCCCAAGAGUUCAUAUCGACGGCGGUGUUUGGCACCUCGAUGUCGGCUCAUCACAUCCUGGGGCUGAAGUAGGUCCCAAGGGUAUGGCUGUUCGCCAUUUAAAGUGGUACGCGAGCUGGGUUUAGAACGUCGUGAGACAGUUCGGUCCCUAUCUGCCGUGGGCGCUGGAGAAUUGAGGGGGGCUGCUCCUAGUACGAGAGGACCGGAGUGGACGCAUCACUGGUGUUCGGGUUGUCAUGCCAAUGGCACUGCCCGGUAGCUAAAUGCGGAAGAGAUAAGUGCUGAAAGCAUCUAAGCACGAAACUUGCCCCGAGAUGAGUUCUCCCUGAGACU